rnacentral:rRNA from 1 species
CGUAUGGGGCAAGCGUUAUCCGGAAUUAUUGGGCGUAAAGAGUGCGUAGGUGGUUACCUAAGCGCAAGGUUUAAUCUUGAGGCUCAACCUCAUUCUGCCUUGCGAACUGGGCUACUUGAGUGCAGGAGGGGAAAGCGGAAUUCCCAGUGUAGCGGUGAAAUGCGUAGAUAUUGGGAAGAACACCGGUGGCGAAGGCGACUUGCUGGGCAGCAACUGACGCUGAGGCGCGAAAGCGUGGGGAGCAAACAGGAUUAGAUACCCUGGUA